CUCUAUCCUCCUCUUCCUCCUCUUCACACACUGGAUUACAACUGUCCAAGUUUGAAGAGUAACACCGAGCAGAGCCAUUUUUCAGUGUCAAGAGGGCCAUAAGUCGCAGCCUCCGCACGAGAGUGUCGGUCCAAGGCAAACAUUCCUUCCAUGUGGCCCGGUGUAAAUACUCAGCGAACUCCUCGUGUUGCCAGGGCGGAAAAUGAAACGGCCUCUCCAGCUGGAAGAACAAGUGUUGUGUGGGCUCCCUGAAGUGGUGCAGCACUGGGUCAUUGGAGAGCCACAGCGUGUUUGGGAACACAACAGUCUGUGUUUUUUUCAGCACAGCUUGUUGGAUGAAGGGCCAUUUCACAGGCAUUAUGGAUUAAUCUUUGGCAGGAUCCCUCCAGGAUCAAGCAAAACUGGGCGUUUAACCUCACGUGUCACGAUAGAGAGUUCUCUGGUGAUAAACCAGGACAGAGAGGAUUGAAGGUGACCCGCAUUUCUCUGUAGAUUCAUUACUUGAGUCCUUCUUAAAAAUAAAAUACGGGUACACAUCCUUCUUCAGGUACCAGAAAGUGACCGUUUGAACUGCGCUGCUGUGUCUGUCACUCCACCUUGCUGUCACCUGCACACAAUCACAGAUUCACAGCUGACACGUCCCAACGCUGCUUAUAAAC